UAAACAAUUAAUUAUUAAAUAUUUAAUCAAAUUUAAUAACGCUACUGAUAUGCCUUCAUUAUAAGAUUAAGGAAAAACUUCAAAUACCCUUCUUGUGGUUUCACUUUUUCCCACUGUAGUACCUUAUAAUUUAAAGUGUAUCAAGUUAGUACCCUAUGGUUUUGUACUUUUUCACUUUAAUACCCUGUGGUUUAAAGUGUAUCGAGUUUGUACUCUGUGGUUUCGCACUUCUCACUUUAGUACCAUGUGGUUUCACACUUUCUCACUUCAGUACCCUGUGGUUUAAAAACCACAGGGUACUAACUUGAUGCGAAAAUAAAACCAUAAGGUACUAAUUUGAUACAAAAAUAAAACCAUAAGGUACUAAUUUGAUACAAAAAUAAAACCAUAGAGUUCUAACUUGAUACACUUUAAACCAUAGAGUACUAAAGUGAAAAAGUGUGAAACCACAUGAUACUUUAAACCAUAAGAUACUAAAAUAAAAAAGUACGAAACCACAUGGGAGUUUUUGAAGUUUUUCCUAAUAAGAUUAAUUAUAUCAUUACUGUCUACUUUUACCUGCCUUUUAUUUUAAUUCCUAAUUUUAUUAAUUUAUUUUAAUUAAAUUUUAUCUUUACAAAUAUUACUAAUCUAUAUCUAUCUAUUACUAUUUAUAAAAGCGGAUAAAGAAUUGAUAAACGAAAACCUAAAUAGAAUAAAAAGAUAUUUUAUACAUAUUAUAUAAAAUUAAUUAAUUAUAAUUGACAUACUAAAAACAAAUAGAAACUAAUCAAAUUUUAAAAUAAACUCACGUAAUAUAUAACUAUUUAAAAUUUAGGAAAAAUUUUAAAUACCACCAAUAUGGUUUCACACUUUCUCACUUUAAUAUCCUAUAUUGUUAAAGUGUAUCAUUUUCGUACUCUAUAGUUUUAUUUUAUUUUUUUUAUUAUCUCCUUCACUAUUUUUAUUCGUUAAAUCAAUAAUAAAAUUUAAACAAAAGAAUAUUAAAGUGAAUAUUCGAUAACUAUAGGUGGGGUAUCCGAAGAUUUUUGUAUAUAAUUUAACGAAAAGUAAACGAAGGAAUCGGCGAAAGAGAAAAAUGAAAUUACAGGGUAAUAAAUUAAUACAUUUUAAAUUUAAUGGUACUAAAAUAAGAAAGUACGAAACUAUAGGGAUAAUAUUUUGAAGUUUAUCCUUAAAUUUUAACUACAAAUUUAAAUUUUUUUUAGGAAAAACUUCAAAAAUCCCUCCUGUGUUUUCGUAGUUUCUCACUUUGCUCCCCUAUAGUUUAAAAUGUAUCAAUUUGCCUCCCUGUGGUUUCUUUUUUCUCUUUUUCUUAUCAAUUUCAUUAUUUUUUUUCUUAAAUCAGUGAUAAAGUUAAUUUAAAGGAUACUAAAGUGAAUAUUUGAUAAAUCUAGAUGGGUAUCUGAAGUUUUUUAUAUAUAGUUUAAUAAAAUAUUAACGAAAAAGCUGCCGAAAAAAUAAAAACGAAACCACAGGGGGGCAAUUUGAUAUAUUUUAAACCACAGGGGGGCAAAGUGAGAAAAAACGAAACCACAUGGGGGUUUUUAAAGUUUU
rnacentral:lncRNA from 1 species